rnacentral:tRNA from 1 species
GGAGGGACAGCUAAGUGGUUAUAGCACAUGCUUAGCAUGAACAAGGUCCUAGGUUCAAUCCCUGGUUCCUCCA